AAAGUGUUUGAGUUGCAAUCAGAUGAUGUGGAUUAAAGUUCUACAGGUCUUC
rnacentral:tRNA from 1 species